CUGAUGGAUGAUAAUAACACCAGCGAUGCAGACAGGAGCUAACCUUGACUUCUGUGUGCAGGGCCCUGACCUUGCAGACACGAUUCCACUCCCGCCUUAGCACAACCCGCGAGCUCAGUACCCCAGGCUGAGCAUCCCUAAUCCAAACAUCCAAAACUCGAAAUGCUCCAAAACCUGAAACUUUUUGAGCACCGACACGAUGCUCAAAGCAAACGCUCGCUGGAGCAUUCCAGAUUCCAGGCUUUUUGGAUUAGGAAUGCCUGACUGUCGAGGAUAAUGCAAAUAUUCCAAAAUGUAAAAAAAAUCCAAAAUCUGAAACACUUCUGGUCCCAAGCAGAAUUUUGCAUAAGGGAAUCUCACCCCUUAUUGUUGUUCCCGCCCCCUGUUCGCAGUACCUGACACUCAGAGAAAUUAACACACAUAGGCAAGGCCACGCAGCCAGGAAAAAGCAGCUACAGAAUUCCUAAGACUGAAAUAGGUCCAAGUCCAAAGCCCGUACCGGUCUCAGCUCUGCCACUCCGGGAGAUGGAGGACGACGGAGGUCGGGAGGGGUGAAGCCUGGAGGGGUGAAGCCUGGAGGGGAGGAAGGGAGCUAUGGCCUGGCCCCAGGUCGCCUGCUCUGGGAGAUCUCCCCGGACCCUGGAGCACUGAGGAUGCCGUCAGGCCUUGCCUGGGAGCCUCACUCCUCCCUGGAAGCCUGGCCGAGAUCUCCGUGAGCCCCCAGAAUGACCUGUCCCUGUGAUGUGUCACCUAGAAUGUAGGCGGCUGUCCUGUUCCUGCUGGGGCAACCAGGCAGUGAGACCCUCCCUGUCGUUUAUUAGACAUAUUCACUGAGCACAUUUCUGGUGCCAGGUUCGGGAACGUAGAAGAGAACAGGCUGCCGUGAAAGCGCAUUCUAUAGGCAGAGAGGCGGGGCAAGAGAUACGCAAACAGAUAAACCUGGUCGCUUUGGAGAAUGAAAGGACCGAUCAAGUGAACUCGGCAGGACACCCUGAGAGCGAGUGACUGGGCAGGGUGGCCUGUCUGAGGACGAGAUGAUGGGCUGAGAGCCAAAUGACCACCAGAGAGCCAGAGAGGCGAGGAUCUGGGGCACAGCCUUGCAGGCGGAAGGUGCCACCAGGGAACGGGGCUGAGGCCGGAGUGGGUCUAGGGGGCAGAGAGAGGGCGGGUGCGGAGGAGCCUCAGGAUGGGGGCAAGAGAGAGGCCAGCUCAGUGUGCGACCUGGCCGGGGACGCUCCCCUGGGGCUGAGAGGGCCACUGCAAACCCUCUGGGCUUUGUUCUCAGUGCAGGGUGAAGCCAUUUUAAGCAAAGGAAAAACAUCAUCCAAUGUCUGUUUUUAAAAAGAUAGCUCCGGCUGCUGCGCAGAGAAGGUGCUGCUGCAGGGGACGGGGCCUGGCAGCAAGAAGGUCCUCACCGGAUGCCGCCCCCAGUCUCGGACGCCCCCCGCCUCCGGAGCUGUGAGCCAAAUACACUUCCGCGCAUUGUCAACUACCCCGUCUCUGCUCUCCUGUCACAGCAGCGUGAAACGGACGGAGGCGGGUGUCCAGGUCUCAGCUCAGAUGGCGCCUCCCCAGAGAAGACUCCUGACCGCCCUGGAAAACAGUCUCCAUCACUGUUACACUCUGUACGCUCUUGCUAUGUUUAGUGUCCCUGAGAGAGCUUUAUCACGUCCUGACCUUUUCUCUCCCUCCCACUCCCUCUCUCUCCCUCUCUCUCUCUCCCCCUCUCUCUCUCCCUCUCUCUCUCUCUCUCUAUAUAUAUAUAUAUGUGUGUGUUUAUUGAUGUACUAUCUGUUUCUCUCCAGUAUAGUGUAAGGUCCAUUAGGACAGAGUCUUUAUUUUGCAUGCUCACCACUGCACCCUCAGUCCCCAAAACAGUGCUCAGUGACUAUUUGCUGAGUAAAUGAAUAAAUACAUGUAAAAAAGGA